CCAGAGAUGGAUUGGUGCCGUUCGGGAACUCUGACACAGGUGCUGCAGUGGCUGUCGUCAGCUCGUGUCGUGAGAUGGUUGGGUUAACGUCCCGUAACGAGCGCCAACCCUUCGUCCUUAGUUACCAGCACGUUAUGGUGGGCACUCUAAGGAGACUGCCGGUGACAAACCGGAGGAAGGUGGGGAUGACGUCAAGUCAUCAUGGCCCUUACGGCCUGGGCUACACACGUGCUACAAUGGUCGGUACAAAGGGUUGCCAAGCCGCGAGGUGGAGCUAAUCCCAUAAAACCGAUCGUAGUCCGGAUCGCAGUCUGCAACUCGACUGCGUGAAGUCGGAAUCGCUAGUAAUCGUGAAUCAGAAUGUCACGGUGAAUACGUUCCCGGGCCUU
rnacentral:rRNA from 1 species